GACGAACGCUGGCGGCGUGCUUAACACAUGCAAGUCGAACGGAAAGGCCCUGCUUUUGUGGGGUGCUCGAGUGGCGAACGGGUGAGUAACACGUGAGUAACCUGCCCUUGACUUUGGGAUAACUUCAGGAAACUGGGGCUAAUACCGGAUAGGAGCUCCUGCUGCAUGGUGGGGGUUGGAAAGUUUGGGCGGUUGGGGAUGGACUCGCGGCUUAUCAGCUUGUUGGUGGGGUAGUGGCUUACCAAGGCUUUGACGGGUAGCCGGCCUGAGAGGGUGACCGGCCACAUUGGGACUGAGAUACGGCCCAGACUCCUACGGGAGGCAGCAGUGGGGAAUAUUGCACAAUGGGCGGAAGCCUGAUGCAGCAACGCCGCGUGCGGGAUGACGGCCUUCGGGUUGUAAACCGCUUUCGCCUGUGACGAAGCGUGAGUGACGGCAAUGGGUAAAGAAGCACCGGCUAACUACGUG
rnacentral:rRNA from 1 species